CAACUGCCAAGCUAAGAUCGCUGUGCCCCUAGCUUUUUACCUUUUACUUCCUGCUAGUAAGAUUGUGUUUCACUUGCUGGUAGUCCAGCUGAAUCCCUGGCCCCAGUCAGUGUCUCUGUUUUCUUUGUGGGGCGAGGCUCCCGUGUACCCCUAUGACCGCAAAAGGAGCAGAUUCUGUGAAUGCUACUUCAGAGGAAAGAAAGCAACAGUCCAAUCAUCUCCUAGGAGUCUUCCAGGCUUGGGCCGCUGGAGGCUCCAUAGGCAGUGCCACAGCCAUUCGAGGAGAAACCGUCUUCCCUGGAGUGUCUUUUGUCCACGGCUUCCCUGGCUAGCACUGGGUGUGUGACUGCCCGUGGGGCCCCGUGCGGGGGCUUGCAGGGCAGGCCAGGACCGCAGGGUGUGUGGAGAAGCUGCAUCUGUGCUCCCGCAGUGGGUACCUGCUCGCUGUGCUCAGCCCCUCCAUGAGGAAGCACUUCAUCCACUCCCAGAAAUCCUACCUGCCUUUGACCUGCACGGCAAGGCCUGGAAGUUUGGCAGAAUCUAUAGGACUUCUCCUUGGGCUCAGCUACUUCCGAUGAGGAAAAAUAAGAGGUGGGGUAACUGAGGCCCACGGUGACGUACUGUGCACCCCAGCUCCCCUGGAAAGGAAGACUCUGAGCUGGCAUCGUCCUCUCCCUAACAUCACCCCAGAGCCCAGCUCUCUUCCUCUGCACCAGCGACUCUCAACCAAGGACCCUCUGGUCUUCCACGGGGAUGUUCGGUAACAUCUGGGGCAUUUGGGGCUGUCACAGUGCAAGUGUGCAGUCUUACAGAGGGGUGCUAGUGGCAUUUC